AGUGAACGCUGGCGGUAGGCCUAACACAUGCAAGUCGAACGGCAGCACAGUAAGAGCUUGCUCUUACGGGUGGCGAGUGGCGGACGGGUGAGGAAUACAUCGGAAUCUACUUUUUCGUGGGGGAUAACGUAGGGAAACUUACGCUAAUACCGCAUACGACCUACGGGUGAAAGCAUAGGAUCUUCGGACCUUGCGCGAUUGAAUGAGCCGAUGUCGGAUUAGCUAGUUGGCGGGGUAAAGGCCCACCAAGGCGACGAUCCGUAGCUGGUCUGAGAGGAUGAUCAGCCACACUGGAACUGAGACACGGUCCAGACUCCUACGGGAGGCAGCAGUGGGGAAUAUUGGACAAUGGGCGCAAGCCUGAUCCAGCCAUACCGCGUGGGUGAAGAAGGCCUUCGGGUUGUAAAGCCCUUUUGUUGGGAAAGAAAAGCAGCAGGUUAAUACCCCGCUGUUCUGACGGUACCCAAAGAAUAAGCACCGGCUAACUUCGUG
rnacentral:rRNA from 1 species